UCAGUUCUCGAUAUUUCCUUUAGUUGCGUGUUAUUCUUCGUUACGUGCACACGUGUUAUAAUUGCCUAAAACUAUUAAACAACCCUUAUACCUAUUGUGUCAGUGAAAAGAAAAUUUAAUAUUGAUGAUAGUAGUGUGAAGUGUGUUAUUAUUGCGGACAGUGAUUCGGCAGACCCUUCUGAUAAUAAUAAUGAUGAUCUCACAGUACUCACUGAGGAUUAUUAUUUUUUAUUUGUAAACAAUUAUCGAUAACGACCCAAAAAUACAUUUGGAGUAAAGCGCCGCACAUCGGUGAUUCUUCAGAGGUACACUUGGAGUAGAGCGCCGCACAUCGGUGAUGCUUGAGAGGUACAUUUAGAGCGUUAAGGGUUAGAUUGACAGUAAAGUAUGAUUUUAUAAACAAUCUCGGCGAAGAAAUUGAAUAGCGCGUAAAUAGCGGAAAUAUUCUGUUACGAUCGAGAUUGUCGUAACAGCUGUGUUAUGAACGUGUUCGAAUGGCAAUAGGAAAAUGGACGAGUGUAUCCGUUUUCCCUUUAGGCUCGAGAUGGGAGGAUAUCUAAAUUGGAGGUUUAAGGAAUAAACUUCGAAGAAAAAUGUAGACGGCUUGCCGGAGAAUUUUUUUUGCGGCUAAUAAUAUAUCUACAUGUACGGACACUAGCAGACUAUAUUAUGGGCUGUUUUUUCCUGUACUGAUAUGCUUUAAGAGCGUAUUUGAGAACUGAUGGUCCGUAGAAAUCUGUUUUUUUUUUUAAGUAAGCAUUUAUUAAUAGAAUUCUUUUAAAUAAUUAAUAUUUUGAAUAUAAGAUUGAAUAGAAAUGUGGAUUGAAACGAGAAGAAUAUUCUUGUCCAAGUAUUUAUUUCAAGAAAUGUCAGAUUCAUGAAUCGACGUUUAAAAUUCGAGGGAAAGAUAGUCUAAAUCGAUUUAGAGCGAUCAGUGGUAGAAAUGUUUCGUUUUGUUUAAUGAAAAUAUACCUAUAUUUCUUUCUGCAAAAAUCGAAUCAUCUUCUCAUGCCCGCGUGGGAACAUAUUCAGGUAACAUGUUCGUGAAUAGUCCACGACAUUUUUCAAUUAAAUAUUUUUAUCCCUAAAAUAUCGAUGAAAGUAAUAGAUAUGUACCUGCAUCGUUACACUUGCAAAAUAUAUAAUACCGAAUUGCAAGACUUACUUAGAUCAGCCUGUAUAAUCGAAUAAAAGUUUACACACAUUUCUAAAUAAAAUUUCUAAAUAAAACUUCAGUAAUGUUUCCAAGAAGGGAAAAGAUUUGAAUGCACUUGUAUCGUAUUGGACACAGUAGCAAAGCCGAGGUGUACUGGCUGUUUCCCUUUAGCCAUAUAACAUUCGCACCACUGUUAUCACCGUAUUACAGGUUUUACGAAAUAACAGCUCAAGACUCGCGUAAUGCACGUGAACAUCGGCCCAACGGCCGACGAACGAUUCAAGGAGAACUAGUAUUUCAUUGAUAACUCACCCCGUGUCCCGACCUUUACGAUCACCACACUGUACGUACACUGUUGCACGCGCAUACCCGCCAGGCAACGUCCAAUGAUUUGUGUAUCGACAGUCGUCAGUAUUAAUGCCAUUUGUGUGCAAUUAUGUUAGUUAUUAUGUCAGACAACCUACCUUUCGCGGCUAGUUUCAACACGUUUUUAACAUUAUGGCAUUGCGACUUGAAAACGACACCAGAUACCCGAUAAAAUAGCUCGCGGCCAACAACACGAUUGCGUUGGGUUCCAGAUCGGAAUUAGAAGUUUGAUUUCCUUUUUCUAAAUCGCAACCAUUACUUCCACGUCUUAAAACAAGAAGACACGAUGUUUCCUUUUCCAUUUUGAGAAUUGAUCUUCAUAAAUUAGAGACAAAGAUGUUGAAAUCCAUGGAAUUCGACACAGUGGGGACACACCUUAACGUUACAUCGUAUCCAAUAAUCGAAUAUCAUCAUCGACAGCGGUACACUGGUAUUUAUACCAUUCACGUUUCCAUUUCAUCAUCACUUAAUUAUUGGAGUUACUUGAUCGUGCUUGCCAUGCCGGUUGAAAUAGUAUUGAGAAGUAACGCUAGAUAACGCGCCUCUAUUGAUUUGUCAGUUGGGAUAAUGGAUUUCAAUGCAUAACACAGAAUCCCAUGGAACGCGAGCGUGUGGUUGCCAGCCACAGAUUAAUACGGCUAUCGCGGAACGACAGGUAUUCCAUAUGUAUCUGGUAUUUCGUAAAUGUUAAUAUAACUUGAUCGUAUCCCGAUGCGAAUGUAAAUGUACUGGACAUGGUGCAGUCUCUUAACCCUUAAAUGCAUACUGUCUUUAUUUGGCAUAUUUAAAUGGCCUUUCUUAUAUAGGUAAUGUGUAAUACUUAUUGCAUGGUGUUUUCCAAUGUAUUUAUUACUAUUUUUAUACUAUUAAUAUGUUCAUAAUACAACAAGAAAUUUAAAAAGUAUCUACUUGUCUUGAUGCAAGGAAACUUGCGCUUUAUCAUAAAGGAAAGGAUAACAGUUAUAGUAAAAUUGCACAAGUAUUGGAAUUAAUUGCAGCAGAUCUUAGUAGAAGAUGCGAAGAAAAAUAUCUAGCGUGUAAUUAACAAUAGAGCUAACAAACUCGUCAAAAUGAUGGAUUUCAUAUUUUCUUUUUGUACAUUUUCUGAUGUAGGUAUUUUAGCUAAGUUUGAUAUUAGUUUUUGUUUACAUAGGAUCAGAAUUAUAUCGGUCUAUUUAGUUUAAUUAAUAUCAUUCAAAUUAUACUAAUUUAUAUAUAUGUAAAACACGUAGUGCAUAUUACAGACCGAUAAUUCUAAUGUUAAACGUUACUCUUAGGGAGAAAUUGUUUCCAUAUGUAUUUGUAAGCUACAACAAAUUUUGGGAAUAUUUAAUUUGAUCGUGUAUUCACCGUAUGUUAGUUUCUUCUCUCAAAUGUAUAAGAAUACCAAACAUAAAAUACAUGUUAAAAAUUAUUUUUUGUAUGACUUUGCAAUAUUGACAAUUUUCUGUAUUUUAUAUUUGAGAAGAGUCAUGCAUUUAAGGGUUCAAAUUUCUCAUAAAAUGUCAAUUUACCAAAUAAUCGGUUGCUGUAUGAUACAAUUUUGUGCGAUUGCGAUAUAAAGGAAUGGAGUUUUCGAUGAAUUCGACGCCGUUCAUUUCAACGAGUUAAAAAGGAAGCGAACGAGAUAACGCAACGCUGGGGAAUUACGUUAUAACAAGAUUAAUAGUUAACGGCUUUCUGAUCGCGAAACAUUCGAUUUGUAUUACAAAUGCGAGUUACACGAUCGGAAUGUCGAUUCCAUGAAGUUGUUUCAUUCUUGUCAACGAAGGGUUGGAUUGGGUAUCCGUUUUCGCUGUAAUGCGGAACAGGAAGGCAACAUUCUAAUUAUAGUAUUAAAUAUCCUGAGAUACGUAAAACGCUUUCGCAUAUCGCUCGAGUAUCGUAUCAAAUUAUACCUCACAAUUACUGUAUUAACGGUAAUUAAUUGUCUACGGCGGUUAUACGUUUAAUGGGGUACGUGACCAUCGUCUACGUCUUAUCCUCAUCCACUCGUGUGCAGGUUUUGCGUUAUAAACGCAUUAAAGCCUAUUGAAAUUACUGAAUGAAGUAAGUUAACGUAUCACAAGGAACAAGGAAGGAACGUAAUUUAAAGCUUGCACGUUGAUCAUUCACCUCCGCGUUUCAUCACAUUGAACUAUUCUUCAGUUGACAUAUUUGUGACUUUUCGGCUUUUCGUCGCGUUUUUAGUACAUCGUAUUUUCUUCUGAAAAUUCCAAUUCACUUCUUCAGUCUUCCCCGGUCCACCUGUAGAAUCACAAAUACAGCCGGGGAUAAAGAUAAAUUAUUUGGCAAAUAAUUGAAAUUGCGAGCGGUUUAUUCAGCAAGUAAUACAUGCAAUAGCGGUUUAUUCAGUAAAUAAUACAUGCAAUAGCGGUUUAUCCAGAAAAUAAUAAGCGAUACACGAGAUAUAAUUAACAAAGAAAACAAGGCCAAUACAACCUAGAACUUAAGCGUAACGUGUGACAGUAAUAUGCUGUUGAAGAACAUGCUCAGCCACCCAACUGGUUAUCAAAAAGGAAAUGACCAACUCAAUGAAAUACACCUUACAUCAGCGUUCGACUUCUUACCGCUAUUAUACUAUUUGUCAUAAACUAUUUAUUUACCGUAGAAACUACUUAUUAUACAUAUACAUAAAUCUAUUACGCGUCCGAUGGCUGAAAGUUUCUUUAGAGAAAUUAAUAUUUUUGUGUAAACAAGUCGUAUUUCACUUAGCCACGUCGAUAAUCUAUUUCUACUUAGUCUCCAACUGUAUGCCAUCCAGUCGUGAAAGUUUAAAGACACCUAAUUGUCGAUAUCUCAACUAUCUCACCGAUUUCGAUGAUCUUGGAAGAGAAUAUUUAUAGAAUUUGAAUAGAAUUUGAAUAGAAUAGUUGUAGAAAUUAACGUUUUGAACAACUUUUUCCUGUACACACAACCGCUGCUCGGCCUUAGUUUUCGAAAUGUUGCAAAAAGCAAUUGACGCUGCACUGAAUUCUGACAAAAUAUAUAUAACAAUACGUAAAAUAUCAUCUAUCCCACAUUUAAAAGAAGAUACGCUACUAAUGUGUGUAUCUGUGACAAUGAGUGACAACCACAAGCAUGGCCGACACGUUUGCCGCCUCGUUCAAUCUUCGUCUAUACAAACUCAAACAAAAGAUAAGAAUUAAGUUUGAGCUAGGCUUAGGGUUCUCAGACGAUUCCCUUAAUUCGAGGAUAGCACGAUGUUACAUUACCCCUUCUGACACUUUACAGCUACGUGGCUUGUGUGAGACGUGACAUGAAUUUCUUCUUACUCCUGUGCGUCGCAUCGACAACAUUGUCCCUCUCCCUACACUUGUCUACAGUAUGAGACCCGAUUUCAGUGGUCCACUAACUAUACUAUAUCCUCUACUACUGCAGAAUUUUUUUUCUUUAAUUUCCUCAAUCUGGUGACACUGGUUAGACGUUAGACAGUAAGACAAUUUAAACAGUAUCGAGGUAUACGCUAGCACGGACGCACAGCUAUAAGCAGAUCUCGCUGUAGUGGUACCGACAGUUUCUUGCGAAUAUUCCAAAAACUAAGGCCGAGCGGCGGUCUUAUGUAGAGAACAGUGCUGUUCAGAAAGUUUAUUUCCACGAGGUAUUAACAAAUAAUGGAAAUUGGUGAGGUGGGUGUAAGUAAGAUUGGCAUUUAUGAAACCAUUAGUCUAGGAUAAAGAGCAUCAAAAACCUGAAUCUUUCCGCCUGAGACCCGGACACUUUUGACUGCUUUUUUAGAUUAUGUACGAUAUCCUAAAUUGAAAGCUUCUGUGAAUUAUACACUGUAACUGAAUAGCACUACGUCUGCAUUCCGAUCGUUCCUAGAAGAACAAAUGCAUUGCUAUUCAGUAUAUUAACCAUAUUAGUAGAGAAGCCACGUAUACCAGAUCAUCGCACGCAACGCACACGUAGCGUGAUAACAUGAAUGAUCGGUGGAGUUUGAUCGUUUGGACAGCAAAUGAGCAUGGGAAACCCAGAUCUCUAGAGAAAAUCCCUGGACAUUUGCGGACGUCUUAAAAAUUAGAACAAAUUCUGGAAAUCGAUAUCUAACAAAUCAAAAUUUGGUAUUCCCUAGUUGGUCUUCAAUUACAUGAAAACAGCCAAGGCUUCUAGCAUUUAGACUAUACAUAGACGACUAUCCCUAGAGGACUAAUAGAAUACGCUUUCAAAAAAUAUACUUUUAUAUAGAAAUAUAGAUGCAAAAUAUAAUCACACACGUGUAUAUAUAUACCGAUGUAAUACAAACAGUAGGGUGGAUAUAAGAAAGAAACGUUACAUAAACAAUAAUAGUAGCAAUACUUUACAACGAUUAGGAGAUCGAUGUAAAAAUAUAAUAUGGUAUGUUACAAGAAAUUAAAAAAAGGAGAUCAACAACCUGCCUGUAAUAGAUAGGCCACGAGCUUAGUACAAAAUAAGUACGAAAUAAAAAAAUAAAUUAUUCGCGAGUCGACAACGAUCGUAGAGAAUAUAGGAGCAUCGUGGGUGAGCUGAAGCAAAUAGCGAAGUUCAUGGUUCGCACCCGUGCAGUAGAAUCCGAUAUGACGCACCGUGGAAACCCGAUGAUGCGGUACCGGAGGAAUUAAUCCGGGCAUGGUCGGAGCGGUAACUAUGCCGCGUGUGCGGCAUACCGGUAUCCCUUGCUGAGAGCGACUCCUCGUGUCGUGACUAUUCUCGCCCACACGUUUAUAAAUCCCCUCGCGGUCGAUUCUCCAUCCCCACAGCCGUUUUCUCUUCCCUUCACUAGACCUAUGCGAUACCAAGCUCGGACCCUACCUAGUCUUGCCUCUCGUUCUGCUUCUCGUUUCGCUGCCUCCUCUUCCUCAACCUCUCUUCUUCCCUCAGUUCGCUGCAUCUCUUGCGUCGAGCAUUCAUCCUAGUUAGAGCAUACCACUAGGCCCAUUAUAUCUCAACUGAUUUGAAUUUAACGGUUGCCAGACACCGGCAUUGUGCGUACGCCCGUCUCAUGCCUCCCGCUACUCGCUUCGGCAUUCUAUCAUCUCUUUCUCUCUCUUUCUUUCUCUCCCUAUCUUUCCUCGUCUUCUCCUCGUCUCGCAACGCCAAUCUCUACUGUUCGCACCCAUCUUCCUACGACCACCCAAUACAGUGAUCGAGCAGAUAAUUGCUAAGCAUAUAAUUUACCCUAUUUGACUUGGGGUGGUUUUCGAUGCCUGGUAGAUAAUCGUUUUGUUCUUUUUACACACUUUUGUAAGGUCUACACGCGCUUAAGUUUAUCGUUACAUGCUAUUUAACAAACGUGCUUAUGAACGCACCAAAGAGGUUGUUAGUGCUAUUAUUAGUACUGUUAUUAACUGUAACUUCAAUUUGUUUGCUGUUCCAUCCUAUUUAUUCUCUUUGCACAAAUUUAUAAGUAGGUUUUUAAGUUUAUCGUAGCAUACAUGGCUGCUAUUAUUAUUUACUGUUAUUAAUUGUAACUUGUAUCUGUUUACUGUACCAUUCUAUUUGUUCUUCUUGCUUACUUUUAUAAGUACAUCUUCAAGUUUAUCGUUGUACGUUAUUUAUCAUAGCGUAAGUAGUUACUGUAACUUAAAUAACUUGUAACUUAAAUUUAUUUGUUGCUUCGUCUUAUUCGUUGCUCUGCUGUUCAUUGUAACUUAACUCUCUCGAAGGUCUGUUAGGUUGUCA